GCUGGGUGCAGUGGCAAACAUCUGUAAUCCCAGCAGCUUGGAGGCUGAGGCAGGAGGGUCGCGAGUUCAGAACCAGCCUUAGCAAAAAUGAGGCACUAAGCAAUUCAGUGAGUUGCCUGUCUCUA
rnacentral:sRNA from 1 species